UGCCGAGCAACUCCUAUCUCUACCUCCGCGUAGCACCUGUCGGGCUGCGAGCAACCUUGGACAAGAUCGGGUAACCAAUUCGGGUGGGAAUUUCGGUCGUAUGCUGACAGGGAAGG
rnacentral:ribozyme from 1 species